AAAAAUGCCAUUAACAGGAAAGGCCCGCUGAAGAAUUCCCAUAUAAAUCCCUCCAUUCUCUCUCUCGCUCUCUCCUCUUUCGCUUUGUGUGUAAAACCCAGAACCAGCAAUGGUGCACAAGCCAAGCAGAGCUUUGGUGUUGUACGGCGAUGGGUUGGCCCACUUCGUCUAUUCAUCUCAUGCCUAUAUCCACUCUCUCGCAUCCAAAGCUGCCUGCGGCUUCUUGAGCCUCCCCAGUGCCCCUCCCUCAGGUUUCACUCACUCUCAUCCAUCUUCAUUGCUCCUCGUUUAUUCCUUUAACUCAUUCUUCAAUUCACCAAAUGAAUUUCCCCAAUCUUAUGAUCUUUACAUGUAUAUGUAUAUAUUAGUAUGGUAGGCGUAACGGGUACUAGCUUCACCAUUUUAGGUGAUGAUUACUACUCACAGCUUGGUAGAGUAUUUUAAUAUGAUAUUGUUUGAUUUUGAAGUCUUCUGUUCUUGAAUUGGGUUGCUUGUAUUGUUGGUUAGUAAAUUAAGCUUCUAUGGAUUUUUAUUAAUUUUCCAAUUGUGUUGGUGAGAUGAAAUGCAUGUUCAAUUUCCAUUACAUUUUUUUGGUGUAUAUUUCGCAUCAUCCAACCUUUUCAUUGGGUUCAAUUAUGAACAUAUGGGUUGCUGUACAUAAUCCAAUGCUUUAUUUAUUAUUCAAAAGCUGUGUUUAUUCUGUUGAAUUUGAACUAGUAUCGUGGCUUGAUGUAAUUGAUGCUUGCAUUGAAACUUUAAAGUUUGCUUUCUUUCAUGUUUCUGGUUAUUUGGACUUAAUUGGAUUUAGAUUGCAGAAAGCGAGGAUGAGAGGAUAGUCACGGAGAUUACAAAUCUGCUGUAUGCAUAUGAAGCUUGUCAAGACAUGGUUCAUGGGAACGAAGGCUGCUAUUAUCACAAAUAGUCCUUGCUUGAAACCUUUUGGCAGAAAACUUGGCUUCACUGUGUUGCAAUUCAGUGAUUUAAAUGGAAAUGAUGGUUCACUUUCUGGAACAUCAGUUGAUUGUGUGACCUCUGAGUUACUGAAGUUGCUUGGAUUUCAAGAGGGUGGGACUAUAGAGACGAGUCAAUUUGAUUUUGUACUUGUGCAAAUAGGGGCUGGUGAAAGAGUGAAUAGUGAGAGAGGCAGUGAUGUUAUAAGUGAUGCAGAAUAUGUAAAUGCUUUGGUAGGUGGUGUAAUGAACACAGCACAACCUAGUUCAGAAAUUAGUUCCCGCCUGCACUUGUCUCUUGUAAUGAGCUAUGGAAAUGUCAGAGAGAUCGGUACCAAUUUAUUAGUUCUGGCUUCUAAAUGUGAAAUGAACUCUGACCUUUCGAUGCUUGCCCCUUGUCAAAGUUACACAAUAAAAGGAGAAAAGCCACGGACUGGUGUUAGGCACCAUUCUCCAAUGCUAAUUGCUCAGUGGCAGUAUGCUGUGACCCGCAUGGAUGCGGCAGACAUUUUCUUUUAUAGAUUUUAAAGAGCACAGUGGAAAUGGCAUGAUACCAGCUGACAGAUUUAUGCAUGAGGUCGCAUUCAAGGUUUGGAAGGCCCCCGAAUAUGGAGCAUAGGUACGGUUUCCUUUAAAGUUUAGUAAUAAGGUAUAAUGUUGGCAAUCCAACUUCUUAAUUUAAGUAGGAAAUGUUAACCAGAGAUAGGGAUCUUGCUUGAAUUUUAUGAGCUUCUGUAAUCCCUUUAUGGUAUCAUUCUUUAUUUUGGGACACCCAAAAGAGAAGGAUCCAAGCAGCCAACUAAUGCUAGUGGGCAUUUUGCAGUUCUCAUUUCAAAAGUCUAUUAGGGUUUUUAAGCAAGCUAAAUAGUUCCUGGCUUGGAUUCUUUUGGAAGCAAGACUGAGCAAUGAGAAGAUUAGACCAGUUAAGUUCUGAUAGCAACAAGCUUAGCAUCAAAAGAGUCCAGCAAAAUCUUUCUCCUAAAAUCAAAGUGCUCGACCAAAGCAAAUUGGCCAAACUAAGCAAGUAAUAACACAGAUGGGUUAAAAUUCUUAAAUCUUAAUUGCUGAUCAAAUUCUAGAAUCUCAGAAUUCACACACCAUUCAGAAAAUUCAGAAAAAUAAUGCUUCAAAUCCAUAGUAAACAACUGCUCAGUUUCAUUUCUAAAACAACUCUAUAAUCAGUUCAGUUUCAUAAUGCUGGGUAAAGAUUAUCCCCCAGCAUCAAACAUCUGUUUCAUGAUCCUAUCACUAUGUAUUAGGUAUUACGGACGCUUCCAAAAUGAGCGAGACUCUAUGUUGAUUCAACUUCUAGAAAACAAACCUAUGACAUUAGUUUCAAAAGUUCUAGAACUCUAACAGGUUUUUCGAGCAGUAAGUACCCCUGAGGAACCACCCAAUGAGGAGAAAGGAGAAUGAAAACAGACCAAUUAGAAAGGGCCAGCCAACCAAAACAACACCCAGGCAGAUCACCACCGUGAAAGGAAGGAAAGAUCGGAUUACUGACUUCCAGUCGAUCCAAUGUCCCUUGAACAGUAUCAGAGCAGCCACGUUUAUCAUGUUCCAACCCAUUGAUCCACGAUAACAGAGUCAAUUCAGGCAGUUGGCAACCAAUGAAUGAGAGUUGCAUGUGAAGAGGUUGUAGGUUCUAUGCUCAAAGUGACGCAUGCUUGAAUGUAAAGCAUCAUCCCAUGUGACUGCAGUCCCAUACUUGGUGUGCAUAUAGCCAUGCUUGCA
rnacentral:misc_RNA from 1 species